GCGAGGGUUGCCGAGCUAGGUCAAAGGCGCAAGGUUGAGGGCCUUGUCACGCAGGUGUUCGGGCGUUCAAAUCGCCUCCCUCGCA
rnacentral:tRNA from 1 species